AUGCCUGCCCAAGGGGGAUGUGAGACCCAGCGUGGGACUCACAGGAGCUGGGAGUUGCUGAAGAUGCUGAAGAUGCUGAAGAUGCUGAAGGCAGACACAUGGGCAGAGCAGCCAAAUGUCAGCUGGCUGCUGCAGGGAGGCCAGUGCUGGUGGGGCUGGGAGGCAGCAGGAGCUGUGGCAGCAGGGAUGGAGCCCAGGACCUCAGGGCAGGGAGCUAAGAUUAGACUGGAAAAAAUAUUUGUGCUGUAUGUCCAUCUCAGAGAUCAUGGAUGCAGAAUUAGGUAA
rnacentral:lncRNA from 1 species